GUGGUUGGCUAGGAGCGUGCUAUGUGGUGAAGUUCAUUUUUAAGAGUGCACCCGGGCGCGGUCCGAUGGCUCCAUCCCUGCACUCUUAAAAAUGAACUUCACCGCAUAGCACGCUCUUAGCGAACCAUCGUCUCGAAUGAUAUCGUUAUGUGCUCUGAUUUGUUGAAAACGGCAGGCGUACGCCUUUCUUGUGACACUUAUGCUGUUCAUAAUUGUCACAAAAAAGGCGUACGCCUCCCGUUUCCAACAAAUCAGGGCAGAUAACGAUAUCAUGGCUAAGAGCGUGCUAUGCGGUGAAGUUGAUUUGUAAGAGUGUGGUCGGGGCCCAGCCCGUGACAGUUCUAUGCUGCCCGUUCCGUCCCGUCAACUACUGAGUAGCGGGCUAUAAAUAUUGACUGUGUCUAACUAACAAUAGCGUAGCACAGGUCCGAGCCUGAUGCAGGCCCGUCAAUGUACAGACCCGGAACCAGCCCGAGCUCAUGAUUUGAAACCCGAGCGCGGUCCAGGUUCGCGAAGAGAGGUCUUCACCAGGUCCUGCUCAGGCUUUCGGGAGAGAGCAAGGCAGCAUACAUGUAAAGCAUUACAGAAACGUCGUACUCCUCCGACUUUCAACAAUCAGAAGACAGAGCGGUAUGAUUCCAACUGCUGAUUGGUCAAGCUGGUUGGUGAAAUUCUACUUUUUUAAUAUAGGGGGACACGAAAGCUCUUCGUGAUUUAAUACGCUCAGGCUCGCAUGUUAAUUUCGCAUCCCGCGGAAGUUUGUCACUAUAUUUUAAUUAGCAAGGUUCUUUUUUUUUCUAUAAUGUUUAAUCUGAUGUAAUCUAACCGUGAAGUUCUCCACCAUCUGAGAGUAUUCCCUCACCGUUGUCGUCGCGAGACAACUAUGAUCAUGAGCGACGCCCGUGGAUUAAUUUUGCCCAGCUUAGAUUUAUUUAAGGAAUUAUUUAAAUCUCAACACCCGGCACAUUGGAUUUAACGCGCACCUUUUCAGUUAGGCUGAUUUCUUCGCGACACAGCCAUCGCUUUAUUGAAACAAGUUAUUUAAAAAAUGAACGUCUAAAAUAGCUCACGCGAAAAUUGUCUUCUUUUCCUCGUGUCUGUUGUAUCCAUUUUUAUGAAUGCCUUUCGAAUACGCAAAAUGUACGAUGUCCGACUCAGUAGCGGAAUGUGAGGAAAUGUGUAGUUACGGAUUCUCACGUGACAAAUGUUGUUUCUUUCGCACAGUGUCAAAAAAGUUAUGGGUGCUUCCUCCGAACGAGGCCGCCCCAUUGCAAGGCGAACCCCAAGCACAAAAUGGACGAACAAAUUGUGUAGGUGUAGUGUCUGUUCCAGGUACGAAUAUAGGACGGCUCAAUAUUACAGUAUUUACGUUUAUGGCGUGCGGGAAAACUUCCGACUGUUUCCUUGCUACGUCUCCACUGGUUAUUUUAAGGUGAAGUUUAGUACAUGACAAGUGUUACACAUGGCGACUCUGUUACAAAAAUAAAGGAUGCAUUGGGGAAUCGGUUCGGUUCUAGCACCGUUGGUAAAGGCGGCACCGUACCGGAAUUUUAAAAAAAACUGCCAUAUCUUAACGUAUCCUCCUCUGCUCGCACAUUACUCGACUUGAAUUAAUUAAUCAACAAUGCAAAAUGUUACGCUUAAUACCACUUACAGGAUAGUCUGUGAUACUGUGAUAAUAUCACCUCACUUCAGCUGGUAAAUUUUGUGGUGGCAACAGAACUUCACCGCAUAGCACGCGGUUUCUUUCGAAUAAAUUUUUUGCGCUUUCUUCCAAGUUUACCGUGAAUUCACACGAGCGACAUCCUCACGGAAGAUUCUAGUGUAAGAAAAAGCGAAAACGUUGCUCACGGAGCCGAAGUUCUGUCCCGAGCUAUGUUGAUCAUUCACACGGUGCGGAAUAUCGGGAUUGGGGUACUGCACAGCAGACGACAGUUAGCAGACGACACCGCCAGCGCCUUUUCCUGUCGUCUGCUACGAAAUAUCUUGUGGCUGUGUCGCAGGAUAUUCCCCACGGUUAGCAGUGUCAACACCACCUAGAUACAGAAUGCCUGCUUACUGGUCGCCGUGACGUAACAACUACGGGUCAGCCUAUUGAGAUCGUAUUUUCAACGGCCGUAGCCAAUCACGAACGUGCUUCCAGCGGUCGUAACCAUGAAGACGAGCUACUGUCAGCUUCAUGGGCAGCAACUGUAAUCUGCGAGUAGUAAACGUCCCCCGAAAUAGGAAAACAAAAUAAAGCGCAACAUGGUCCCGUAUUUUUCUCAAGACUAAUUUUCUGGAAAGCGUAUUGCACUUUUCAGACUACAUGUUCAAAUUUGUGAAGUUGGUUGCAAUCAUUUGCGAGUUUCGCAGAACGGCGAAUCGCGGUAGCAGACGAAUUCUGACUUGAUGUGUCGAUGUAGCGAUGAAGGGAGAGGAGGCAAUAAACAGGCCUUCUGUAUUUACACUCGAACAAAAAAGGGUGUCAAAAGGUGGUUACUUCUAUGGUUACCACCUAGGUCAACAUAUAGCGUAUGAUAAAGGGUGUAAAAGGGUGGUAAAAGCAAAUACCAUAUAUCCAAAUUGCUACAAAAAGGCGUACCUUCCUUAUUAACGGGGGAGGGGGGCGUACCCCCCCCCCCCCUCGCUCCCCGAAUCGGAAUCGGUAACCCUAUCAUUCGUGGCAAUGGUGGCGGACAAGGUGUUAUGCGGUGAAGUUCUGCUUUGAGAGUGAGGGAGUAGGCAGAACUCUGCAACCUUUUAGGCACAACAUAUGCGACCAUUAUUACCUCGUAAAAGGUGCAACUGCUCCACCGUUUAUUUCUAAGAGUGUAGUUUGCGUUGGCAGUGUACGUGAAGACACGACGUUGAGCGCUCGUGCUCACGCGACAGCAGAAAGCUAUGACGUUUUUCGCAUCUUCCGCUGGAAUAUUCUGGGGAAUGUCGUUCAUGUGAAUACACUGUUAGUGCCGAGCAUGAAACAGAGAAGGAAUAUUUCAAUCCGCCAUAUGUGUUACGAAAUCGCUUCGCGGACAGCAAGAAAACUGAGUCUUCCCCCAACUUUGUCCACUUAUUAUAUACGCACUACGUAAGCAACGCGUUUUUGCAGCAAACUCGCCAUGUACAAUGCUUAUCACUUCACACCGCCUUCUGUAAACUGUACUAUUCUCUUUUUUCUGUUGAGCACGCGCUAUUGUUGUAGGUAUUUAUUCACUGUUUAUUUAUUGGCUCUCUGUGAUUCGAUAACCACACUAUGCAGCGAUGUAUCUUCUACAGCUUACCAUACGUGGUGUGAGAUUUGAGUUUAAUUAUCUGUUUGCUCCAGUGUUGAAGUCAUAUUGAAGUGCGAAGGUGCCACGACGACGAUUUUUCCGCUAGUCAAUAUCGUGCACAACGGUCUUAAUUUAGGUGUGUAUUCACUUGUAUUUACUAAAAUGGCAGGGUUAUUGUUGUGUACACAAGGUUUCGGAAUGCUUUCAAAUCACAUUUGAAAACUGCACGACUGAGUUCCUCUUUGACGGCAUUGUUUAUUGAUUUAGAGAGAGAUGUGCUGAUAUCAUAUGCGGGGUGUUCCUGGACUUGUACAUAUAUUUUUUUUAAUUAAUGACCCUGGAGAAUGCGCUUAUUACUGGUCAUAUAAUUAACGUGGAGGACCCCAGGUGGCAGGAGGAUCGGAAGCGAGUGUUGAUGUGGCACGCUUUCGAAGGCGCCCCUGUGAGGAAAAGCGGGAAACAACUGUAAGACACGCUUACUGGAAGCACUCGCUGUCGUUUCUUUAACUAAUUGCCAUCUGUUCACUGCUAGUAAGUAGAUAAUAGAACAGGAGACACUGUUGCAGACACUUUCUAUACUUUGGAGUAGAAGGCAUACCAUUAUUCUUGAGUAAACCCUAUUAAACACGUUAAGCUUUGUGGUCGGCGUUGACUUCAUGAAGCCUGAGACUCAGUGUCGUCAGCUCGUCUGGUCCAGUCUAUCGCCGCGAUUUUAUAGCCUCUGGCUAUGAGUGGCUACCCAUGCGGCUCGUGACGCCUUGUUGACAUGAAUACAGCCGCUGAAGGCGCUGCUGUGAUUGGCGGGAUUAGUGAUCUGGCCUUGUUUAGUUUAGAUGACGUUAUAUGUGUAAAUCUACUCCAAUUACCUUUUUUUACCUAGAUGGCGUUGCCUUAUAAUGGCGCGUUGUGAUAUGCCUCAAAAUGGUGUUGCCAGCCUAAUUUUAGCGGUAAAUGGCGCUGCAGUAAUGCGUUACCGAAGUGAUUCUGGAGGAACAUGAAAAGUGAGAAAAUAAGGGAAUUUUAGAAAGGUAUCUUCAUCAAUAUGUUCUCUGACGAAAUGGGACAAAAUGUGCGCAACAAUUAUUUGCUUUGAUUUAUUUUAUUAGCGAAAUAUUUAUUAAUAAUUCAUUAAUCCAUUCUUUCCCAAGAAGCACAGUAGCCCGCCUCAGAUCAGGUGUCUUACGGACGUGACGUUAUCGAAGUCAGGGAACUAGUCAUUUAUUUAUCUAGUUAUUUAUUAUUUAGUUACUUGGUGGGGUCGUAUCUUUCAUCUGCAGUAGUCACAAGCCGAUUCUGCAUCGGAGCACGGACGAUUGUUUAAUGACGAAAACCGCGCAGCAACACAGCGCAGUGUUUUCUUGCGAGCCGAACGGUAACAUAUAAUACAAUAUAAUAUCCCAAGCAGCACAACAUCUUGGCCCAAUAUUGGCAAUGCCGGCCCAAUAUUAGACCAAGAUUGGACCUCUAUUGGGCUAAUAUUGGCAAUGCCGGCCCAAUAUUAGACCAAGAUGGGACCUCUAUUGGGCCAAUAUUGCAUUUAUCGGCCAAAUGUUGGGCCAAUAUUGGCAAUGCCGGCCCAAUAUUAGACCAAGAUUGGACCUCUAUUGGGCCAAUAUUGCCAAUAUCGGCCAAAUAUUGGACCAAUAUUGGCAAUGCCGGCCCAAUAUGGGACCACGAUUGGACUAAUAUUGGGCCAAUAUUGCCAAAAUCGGCCCAAUAUUGGGCUAAUAUGUGCUAACCUGGGAUGAUAUAAUACGGCAAUAUAUUAUGACAUGGUAACAUUGAACAUAAAGCAGUACAAGUGGUCAGAAACCAGACACAGGCGUAAGUUGUAUUCUCAGUUCUUGCUGCAAUCUUACAGCGCAUCAGGCUUGUCUUCCUGAAGACUGACCACACAGAUUGACGUCUAGCCCUGUUUUUCUACGCGAUAUCACGCAUGAAGAUGAGAAACACUUCAAGGAUGUGGUGAUGACACGUGCCGAAUUUUUGAACAACUUUUUAUAGCUUUCGCUGUUUUCGCCGUGCCAAAAGCAAAAAUAUAGGGAAAAAAAGAAACAGCACUGCCAAAAACUUUAAAUCGAAUUUAAUUCGACCACGCUUCCCCAAAGCUCAAGCAUCAUCACGGAUCACUAAGUGAGAUAUUCUAACGGUUUUUGUCAGCAACAUUGAGACUUUCGUUUAACCUUAUAGAACGACGGUGGCCUGGUUGCAUUUCACGCACACACAUACGCAGAGAUGCUGAUGCCGAUGUGGGACUCGCCUCUGACCUUGCUGACUUCAUGCCCUGAGAAUACGUCUGUAUUCUAUAGGAAUGUCAGCAUGUGGACGCUUGAGGCAGUUCACCACAGCGUUUUGAAGCACGUGUGUUUUGAAGGGUUGAGUACCAGUCUGGUCUCAGGCGAUGUUACACAAUACAAGCAGCCCCACGUUAGAUAUCCCUGCGACGUCACAACAGGGUUGCAGGCUCCGGUAAGUGUGGAGCAGUUAUUUUCGACUGUUGACUGAGUGUAAGAUGAAGCAUUUUGUUUGUGGACCUUCAGAAGUGUGAGCGUUGGUUUCUCAGAGCGGGUGUUUGACCCCUUAUUUGUUUUCUAGUCCAAAGAGUCAGAAUAAAAUGUCUGUGUGAUAAUAAAGAAGUUACUGCAAUGUU